ensembl:lncRNA
UCCUCAUCCUCAUCAUAUCCCCAUCCCCAUCCCCACCCUGGGCUCUCCUGCUUGACCCCAUGGGAUGGCACCAGUCCCUCUGCAGAAUGCCUUCCCCAUGGAUCCGGGACUGCUCACAGCUUUGAGCAGCCCUGCAGACACACGCCAGCCUCCUCCAGACUCUUUAUUUCCCCUCUAUCAAGGCCGCCUAUAUUUUUCUUGUUCAUCAGACUGACAAAUGGGCAGAAAACAGACUCCUGGCUAUUUCCUGCUCAGGCUGCCCACUCCUCCUCUCCCCUCGGCAAUGACUGAGAGCUGAAGAAGCAGAAAUGGCAUAUAAAUUUCCUCCCUCCUUUAAUAAAUACCUCUAUUACUUCGUGCUUUCCCCAGCUCUCCGCUGGCUGCUGUAGGCUCGCUGCCCACUGGGCAGACGUGAUGCACUGAAACUCAAACUUCUAUGGGGAAGGAGGCUCAGGGCAGGAGGAAACCCCUCCCUUGGGUGUCUGCAGCGUGGGGAGCCCACUGGUUCAAUUCAUAGUGAAAAGUGGGGCUGGGGUUUGUACUCUUUCCAGAAAUCCGCCUUGGUCUGAGGGUGCCCUGAUGCUGUAGGGCUUGUCCCGUGCACCCCAUACACCUUAUGGUGGGCUCGAGAGCUAAUGGAGGGAAUUGAACCAUGCACAGCCUAGCCAAGAUGAUGAAUUGGGAGCAUAAAGGUUGGGCUGCAGUGGGAAACCACUCGCUGCAGUGAUUUGCUCUUCGGUCAGCAGCGAGCAGCAGGCUCUGCCACCCUGCAGAAGGCUCUCAGCAUGGGGAGAAACUGGGGGACCCAAAGGAGAGGCAUUCUUGGUAUAGGGGCUACAAAUGGUGAGCUGGAUCUGCGCCGGAGCAGCCAUGUCCAGCUCCACGGGAUUGUGCAGUGCACAGGAAUUUGUCACUCUGCAACCCUCCUCCUAUGCUGGGCUGCCUCGAGCUCCCACAGCUCCCACUUCUGCUGGGGGAGAAGUCAGGAGAGCUGCUCCCAUCACAGGCUUGAGUACCGCAGCAGGACAGAGACCUCACCUCACCCCAUCCCUCCCCUGCUGGUCUGUAGGGAACAGGAAAACGUGGUCAGAGCAGCAAACACCAGGCAGAGCUGCUGCUGCUGCCCGUGGGCUGCAGGGGGAAUUUUAGUAAAGCACUGCUCCAGGCUGGCUGUGACCUCAGAGAUCGAUACACAUCCUCAUUUCUGGCACUGCUCCUCGUGCCACCCUAAUGCAGAUGAAAAGUGCAACCAGGCAAUGGUGCCUUGAGUUCCCUCUGAAGCAAGCUUGCUGCUUUAAUCCUGGUCUUUUCAGCAUAGGAUAAGGCCUCCUUUGGGGAACAUCAGAAGAGCACCAUCACCUGCUGUGUGCUCGCUUUCAUCCACGCACUGGAAAAGGAGCAGGAGAGCUCACCAUCACCUCUGGCCCCAGCUGUGUUUUGGGAGCUGCAGGAGCAAGCACUGACCCCAGAUCUGCUCAGACCCAAGUACAUUGCAGCCAGGAAUGCUGCUGUCCCCUUGUCCCACAGCACGGCCACCUAUAAGCUGCUCUCAGCUGCUGUCACCCUCAGACUGAAUCAGUGUCAGUGCCUUGCAAAGCCUGAAAACCCACACUGUGAGCAGCAGCAUUAAGGGGUGGCAGCCACCCAAUUCCAGCCCUCGGCAUAUUGCAUCCGUUUCCUGGAGGGUGUUUAACUUCUAAAUCUAAGCUCCUAAACAAGUAAUAGCAGCAAGUGGCAGCACCCGGCUCCCAACCUGCGAGUGGCAUUUCGGGGGCCAGGCCGCCAUCAGCACGAGCAAUGGGAAAUUUCUCAAACGUCUCUUUGAUUUAUGGCUCUUGUUAAUUCUCCAGGAGCCCCGCGAGCCGCCCUGGGUGCAUGGAACCUCGGAGGGAUAAAUAAUUUAACAGGUGGUUAAAUAUUCCUUAAGGUGCAGAGAACAUGGGCAGGAGCACGGAUUUCAGGGGAUAACACAAAACUACAAAUUGGGUGGAUGAGGUGGGGGGGAGGCGGUCUGAACUCGGCAUUGCUGUCGGCUGGUGGCUGCAAAACAGCAGUAGGACAGGGGCAGCAGGAUGGCAGAGCCAUGGGAGGGAAAGGACAGGGCCACCCCACUGCUGCUGCAUUGUCACCCAGCAGGGAUCGGAGAAUGGCUUGGGUUGAAAGGGAUCUGAAAGGUCUUCUACCCCCUGUGCAGGAUGGAGAGCUGGGAGCAGGUUUGGCUGCAGGUAUAGGGGAAAACCCCACCCAGAUGUGCAGUGUGGGCCAGCCAAAAAACAGUGAAAUGGGGAAAACAGAGGGAACAGUCUGCUGCCCUCGGAGGCCCUGCUGGAACAACACCUGGUUUGGUGGCAGAUGAUGGGUGAAGCAGGAUGUCUGGGGAUGGUUUACCCCCCCAAGUCAUAGAGGUUAGAAUGCAUCAACCCCAUGCACUGAAGGGGAGAAGGCAGCCUUGGGGGCAGUGCUGCUUGAGGACCAUGUUGCAAGAGCCACCACUUGGUGACCAAAGCAAAGCAGAAGGACAGAGGCAGACGGGAGGACCAAGAAGCCCAAGUGCUGCCAUUGCAAGACUCCAUCCAGACUUCAGUCCCCAGUCAGGAGGUGCUGGGGCUCCCAGGAGCUGUGGGGCAGCCCCCAGAGCAGAGCACCCCCACGGAGCUGAGCCAGCUGCGGGGGAGCCCAGCAGAGGUAGAUGGCAGCAAAGCCUAUUUCUUGUGGCAGCCGGGAUGUGACAGCCCCGUCGCUGCUCCGUCACCAUCCAGCCAAGCACUGCAGCGGUAUUUAACGGCAGUCCAGUCCUUCAUUCUGCCCACGGUCUGGUGAGUUUUCCAUCUCGUGGCUCCUUUCCCCCAGGGUUCACUUCAUCAGCAUGACUCAGAGAUUGGGAUGGAUCUCAGCCAGGGAGAGAUUCGGUGUCUGUGUCUGCUGAGAGCCAGGAAGGAGAGCCCACGUGCAGCCCCUGGCCCCAGAGGGUUUAUCAUAGCCACCCCUGAUAAAUGGAUAAUGAAUAAUUCACUGUUGGCUUUGGCUUUAUGAAGUAUUCAUUGCAUUCUAGCUUCCCAAGGUAAUUAACUAUCCUAUGAGCCCCACGUAAUACAACCCAGCCAUAAUCCAUCUUCGAGACUUCAUUAGCAGGUUCCCGUGCCACUUCGAUAAAUUAAUGGGGGAUAAACACACAAACAAAGCUUUCCCCUCCCUGGGUGCUCAGCCACCGUGGCACUUCCACCAUGGGGAUGGGAAGGCCAUUGGGGUGGGUGACAGAGUGGCAGUAUGGGGCCGGGGACAAGCCCCAUCUCCCCCGGCCAAUGGAUACCUCCAGGCACUGAGCAGCCCCAAAACAAGUCGUGCAGGGUACUCCAGCAGAGCUCCCUGUGCAGACGGGUGCAUUCUUGUUUAGAUAACACGUUUAUCAAUGACUCCAGCUCACCAUCCCAUCACCGCUGGUGGCGCAUGGCACAGCAGGGGAUCACCACCUGCCCAGAUCCAUCACACAGCACACCGGGAUCUGACACCCGCUGCCAGCCCUAUGCUAUGCUCACACUGUUUUGAGCCAGGUGGGACAGGCACAAGGCAUGUGUGCCACCACCAGUGCCAGCCUGAAGGCAAGCGUGCCGCAAGGUGACACGGCUCGCGCUGAGCGCAGACGGGAGUGGGAUUCGUCACUUUGAUAGAUGGGUAGAAAUUUCCUCCAGCCUCCGUUGCUGAGUCAGCCUUUCUGACUUCAAUAAUUUACAGCCAUAAACAGGGAGAUAAGAGCCAGAGCGAGAGGGGGACGCAGUGAACCUGGGCGAGAUGAGCGAUGGCUCUGCCGACAGCGCUGUGGGCUGGGACGGCACCGAGCAGGGGGGGGGGUUAAAGCUGACUUCUGGAGCAGAGCUCAGCUCCAAAAUACCACCCCAAAACCUCGGGCCAAAACAUCCAACCCCACGGCCUGUCCCAGUGCUGGCUUUGUAAAUUUUGAAGGUGGCUUUUAAGCUGAGAGCACUCCCCAUCACUGCUGCUCAUCAGAGGGAUGAGGUGCCCAACCGUGGCUCAGAGAUCUGCACGGGUACCAAAGCCCAGAGUGCAUCCCACCAGCUGAAGGGCUCCUGCAGAGCCUCCCUGGGGCCCAAGCAGUCCUUUAUUAAAGGGAAGGAGGGUGUACACGUCCCCAGCUGGGUCUCAUUUCCUUUCCUGCCCUCUUUCCCACCACCUGGCAGCUUCACGCCGCAUUUCCAUGCAGUUUUGGAGGCACAUCACCCCACUGUCUCUUACCAAUGCUCAAGAUGCCCAUUCCCAGGAUUUGGGCUCCAUUAUGAGUGGCUCAGCCUCAGCCUGUCACCUUUCUACUUGCGUCGUUGGACACCUGAUCAAAUUGCUCCCUGGAUCCCUCCGACUUCUCCAUGUGCAGCAUAGCGACUCGUGAUGCUCUGUCCCUACAGCGCCCAGGGAUUCCUUCUGCAGAGGACUGAGUGCUUUCAGCAACACCCCAUGAUCCUCAAACCAAACCACUGGGGUCACGUUUAGAGGACUCAGCUCCCACCGUGGUACCAAAAGCUGAGGCAGGUCUCCCUCCACCACCUUCAAGAGCCAACAUUCCCAAAACCAAAGGGAAAACGACCCAAUGGGAAUGGCCACCAGCCCUGGGGACAUCACUCCUUGUCACCACCCCCCAGAUACGGGUCCCAG